CCCUUAGAUGUUCUGGGCCGCACGCGCGCUACACUGGUACGUUCAACAAGUUUACAACCUUGAUCGAUAGGUCUGGGUAAUCUUUUUAAUGCGUACCGUGCUAGGGAUAGAUUAUUGCAAUUAUUAAUCUUGAACGAGGAAUUCCUAGUAAACGCAAGUCAUCAGCUUGCAUUGAUUACGCCCCUGCCCUUUGUACACACCGCCCGUCGCACCUACUGAUUGAAUGACUCGGUGAAAAAUUGGGACUGUGAGAACAAUCGAUUCAGUUCGAAUGUACUCGUGGAAACUUUUUUUAACCUCGCCAUUUAGAAGAAGGCGAAGUCGUAACA
rnacentral:rRNA from 1 species